AGCGAACGCUGGCGGCAGGCUUAACACAUGCAAGUCGAACGCCCCGCAAGGGGAGUGGCAGACGGGUGAGUAACACGUGGGAACGUACCCUUUGGUUCGGAAUAACUUGGGGAAACUCAAGCUAAUACCGGAUAAGCCCUUAUGGGGAAAGGUUUACUGCCGAAGGAUCGGCCCGCGUCUGAUUAGCUAGUUGGUGAGGUAAUGGCUCACCAAGGCGACGAUCAGUAGCUGGUCUGAGAGGAUGAUCAGCCACACUGGGACUGAGACACGGCCCAGACUCCUACGGGAGGCAGCAGUGGGGAAUAUUGGACAAUGGGGGCAACCCUGAUCCAGCCAUGCCGCGUGAGUGAUGAAGGCCUUAGGGUUGUAAAGCUCUUUUACCCGGGACGAUAACGACUGUACCGCAAGAAUAAGCCCCGGCUAACUUCGUGCCAGCAGCCGCCGUAA
rnacentral:rRNA from 1 species